UCUCUGUUUCCUGUGUGUGUUGUUAGAAAUCAAAAUGUAACUUUAGGAAAAAAAAUGCCAAAAGCACAUUUACAAUUACUUAUGACCGUUUUUAACUUCUUUUCUUCAGACCAAAUCCCCUGUACACAUAUACGGACUCAGAGGAUGAGCAGCCUACAAAAAACGGUUUCCCCAGGCCCCUCGAGUGAAAAUACCAGCCCUCAUCACUCCGCAGUCUGCCCCCCAGCCCACUGAUAGCAACCAUCAUAAUGCCCCGCCCAGCUUGCGGCACCUUUUGCCACUCCGGCACAACACACAAACCAACACAGCUUUGCGAUCUCCCCAGCAUGCAGAGUCUGAUGUCAAUGUCUUCCCUAUAGAUGAUUCCAGAGACUCUGUGAGGCCACUAUUACAAG